UACGAAGGGGGCUAGCGUUGCUCGGAAUCACUGGGCGUAAAGCGCACGUAGGCGGAUUGUUAAGUCAGGGGUGAAAUCCUGGAGCUCAACUCCAGAACUGCCUUUGAUACUGGCGAUCUCGAGUCCGGGAGAGGUGAGUGGAACUGCGAGUGUAGAGGUGAAAUUCGUAGAUAUUCGCAAGAACACCAGUGGCGGAAGGCGGCUCACUGGCC
rnacentral:rRNA from 1 species